AUUGAACACUGGCGGCAUGCUUUACACAUGCAAGUCGAACGGCAGCACGGGGGCAACCCUGGUGGCGAGUGGCGAACGGGUGAGUAAUGCAUCGGAACGUGCCCUGUCGUGGGGGAUAACACAUCGAAAGAUGUGCUAAUACCGCAUACGACCUGAGGGUGAAAGCGGGGGACCGUAAGGCCUCGCGCGAUAGUAGUGGCCGAUGUCGGAUUAGCUAGGUGGUGGGGCAAAGGCCUACCAAGGCGACGAUCAGUAGCUGGUCUGAGAGGACGACCAGCCACACUGGGACUGAGACACGGCCCAGACUCCUACGGGAGGCAGCAGUGGGGAAUUUUGGACAAUGGGGGCAACCCUGAUCCAGCCAUGCCGCGUGCGGGAAGAAGGCCUUCGGGUUGUAAACCGCUUCUGGCAGGAACGAAACGGUGCGGGCGAAUACCCUGUGCUAAUGACGGUACCUGCAGAAUAAGCACCGGCUAACUACGUGCCAGCCGCCGCAGUAAGAC
rnacentral:rRNA from 1 species